GCGUAGCUCAGUUGGUAGAGCGAAGGUCUCCAAAACCUUAGGCCGGGGGUUCGAAUCCUCCCGCU
rnacentral:tRNA from 1 species